rnacentral:rRNA from 1 species
CCUACGGGUGGCAGCAGUGGGGAAUAUUGGACAAUGGGCGAAAGCCUGAUCCAGCCAUGCCGCGUGUGUGAAGAAGGCCUUCGGGUUGUAAAGCACUUUCAGUGGGGAAGAAAGCCUUGGGGCUAAUACCCUCGAGGAAGGACAUCACCCACAGAAGAAGCACCGGCUAACUCCGUGCCAGCAGCCGCGGUAAUACGGAGGGUGCGAGCGUUAAUCGGAAUUACUGGGCGUAAAGCGCGCGUAGGCGGUCUGAUAAGCCGGUUGUGAAAGCCCCGGGCUCAACCUGGGAACGGCAUCCGGAACUGUCAGGGUAGAGUGCAGGAGAGGAAGGUAGAAUUCCCGGUGUAGCGGUGAAAUGCGUAGAGAUCGGGAGGAAUACCAGUGGCGAAGGCGGCCUUCUGGACUGACACUGACGCUGAGGUGCGAAAGCGUGGGUAGCAAACAGGAUUAGAUACCCUAGUAGC